rnacentral:rRNA from 1 species
GUCGAGGGGUAUAGGAAGCUUGCUUUCUAGAGACCGGCGCACGGGUGCGUAACGCGUAUGCAAUCUACCUUUCACAAAGGGAUAGCCCAGAGAAAUUUGGAUUAAUACCUUAUAGUAAUACGCCUUGGCAUCAAGAUGUAUUUAAAGAUUUAUCGGUGAAAGAUGAGCAUGCGUCCCAUUAGCUAGUUGGUAUGGUAACGGCAUACCAAGGCUACGAUGGGUAGGGGUCCUGAGAGGGAGAUCCCCCACACUGGUACUGAGACACGGACCAGACUCCUACGGGAGGCAGCAGUGAGGAAUAUUGGACAAUGGGCGCAAGCCUGAUCCAGCCAUGCCGCGUGCAGGAUGACGGUCCUAUGGAUUGUAAACUGCUUUUAUACAGGAAGAAACACCUCUACGUGUAGAGACUUGACGGUACUGUAAGAAUAAGGAUCGGCUAACUCCGUGCCAGCAGCCGCGGUAAUACGGAGGAUCCAAGCGUUAUCCGGAAUCAUUGGGUUUAAAGGGUCCGUAGGCGGUCAGAUAAGUCAGUGGUGAAAGCCCAUCGCUCAACGGUGGAACGGCCAUUGAUACUGUCUGACUUGAAUUAUUAGGAAGUAACUAGAAUAUGUAGUGUAGCGGUGAAAUGCUUAGAGAUUACAUGGAAUACCAAUUGCGAAGGCAGGUUACUACUAAUAUAUUGACGCUGAUGGACGAAAGCGUGGGUAGCGAACAGGAUUAGAUACCCUGGUAGUCCACGCCGUAAACGAUGGAUACUAGCUGUUGGGCGCAAGUUCAGUGGCUAAGCGAAAGUGAUAAGUAUCCCACCUGGGGAGUACGAACGCAAGUUUGAAACUCAAAGGAAUUGACGGGGGCCCGCACAAGCGGUGGAGCAUGUGGUUUAAUUCGAUGAUACGCGAGGAACCUUACCAAGGCU